CCUACGGGCGGCAGCAGUAGGGAAUCUUUCACAAUGGGCGAAAGCCUGAUGGAGCAACGCCGCGUGCAGGAUGAAGGCCUUCGGGUUGUAAACUGCUUUUAUAAGCGAGAAAUAUGAUGGUAACUUCUGAAUAAGGAUCGGCUAACUACGUGCCAGCAGCCGCGGUCAUACGUAGGAUCCGAGCAUUAUCCGGAGUGACUGGGUGUAAAGGGUUGCGUAGGUGGCAUAAUAAGUAGCUAGUGAAAUCUGGUGGCUCAACCAUUCAGACUAUUAGCUAAACUGUUAAGCUCGAGACCGUUAGGGGUAACUGGAAUUUCUAGUGUAGGAGUGAAAUCCGUAGAUAUUAGAAGGAACACCAAUAGCGUAGGCAGGUUACUGGGACGGUUCUGACACUAAGGCACGAAAGCGUAGGGAGCAAACGGGAUUAGAUACCCGUGUAGUC
rnacentral:rRNA from 1 species